rnacentral:rRNA from 1 species
AUUGAACGCUGGCGGCAGGCCUAACACAUGCAAGUCGAACGAGUGGCGGACGGGUGAGUAAUGUCUGGGAAACUGCAUGAUGGAGGGGGAUAAAUAAUGGAAAAGGUAGCUAAUACCGCAUAACCACAGAUGUGCCCAGAUUGGAUGAGCUUGUUGGUGGGGUAACGGCUCACCAAGGCGACGAUCCCUAGCUGGUCUGAGAGGAUGACCCGCCACACUGGAACUGAGACACGGCCCAGACUCCUACGGGAGGCAGCAGUUGGGAAUAUUGCCCAAUGGGCGCAAGCCUGAUGCAGCCAUGCCGCGUGUAUGAAGAAGGCCUUCGGGUUGUAAAGUACUUUCAGCGGGGAGGCGUUACCCGCAGAAGAAGCACCGGCUAACUCCGUGCCAGCAGCCGCGGUAAUUC